AGUUAGAGCCCGUUAAUGGGUGAUAGCGUGCCUUUUGUAGAAUGAACCGGCGAGUUACGAUUUGUUGCAAGGUUAAGCGGAAAAAGCGGAGCCGUAGCGAAAGCGAGUCUGAAUAGGGCGCAUAAGUAACAGGUCGUAGACCCGAAACCAGGUGAUCUACCCAUGUCCAGGAUGAAGGUAAGGUAAUACUUACUGGAGGUCCGAACCCACGCACGUUGAAAAGUGCGGGGAUGAGGUGUGGGUAGCGGAGAAAUUCCAAUCGAACUUGGAGAUAGCUGGUUCUCUCCGAAAUAGCUUUAGGGCUAGCCUCGAGGUAAAGAGUCAUGGAGGUAGAGCACUGUUUGGACUAGGGGCCCUUCUCGGGUUACCGAAUUCAGAUAAACUCCGAAUGCCAUGUACUUAUACUCGGGAGUCAGACUGCGAGUGAUAAGAUCCGUAGUCGAAAGGGAAACAGCCCAGACCACCAGUUAAGGUCCCCAAAUAUAUGUUAAGUGGAAAAGGAUGUGGGGUUGCUUAGACAACCAGGAUGUUGGCUUAGAAGCAGCCACCAUUGAAAGAGUGCGUAAUAGCUCACUGGUCGAGUGACCCCGCGCCGAAAAUGUACCGGGGCUAAACAUAUUACCGAAACUGUGGAUGAACCUCUUUAGAGGUUCGUGGUAGGAGAGCGUUCUAAGGGCGGUGAAGUCAGACCGGAAGGACUGGUGGAGCGCUUAGAAGUGAGAAUGCCGGUAUGAGUAGCGAAAGAAGGGUGAGAAUCCCUUCCACCGAAUAUCUAAGGUUUCCUGAGGAAGGCUCGUCCGCUCAGGGUUAGUCGGGACCUAAGCCGAGGCCGAUAGGCGUAGGCGAUGGACAACAGGUAGAGAUUCCUGUACCAGUGCUAAUUGUUUAACCGAUGGGGUGACACAGAAGGAUAGGGAAUCGCACGAAUGGAAAUGUGCGUCCAAGCAGUGAGUGUGAGAAGUAGGCAAAUCCGCUUCUCGCGAAGCAUGAGCUGUGAUGGGGAAGGAAAUUAAGUACGGAAGUUCCUGAUUUCACGCUGUCAAGAAAAGCCUCUAGGAAGAGUAGUACUGCCCGUACCGCAAACCGACACAGGUAGAUGAGGAGAGAAUCCUAAGGUGAGCGAGAGAACUCUCGUUAAGGAACUCGGCAAAAUGACCCCGUAACUUCGGGAGAAGGGGUGCUCUAUUAGGGUGCAAGCCCGAGAGAGCCGCAGUGAAUAGGCCCAGGCGACUGUUUAGCAAAAACACAGGUCUCUGCAAAACCGUAAGGUGACGUAUAGGGGCUGACGCCUGCCCGGUGCUGGAAGGUUAAGAGGAGUGCUUAGCUUCGGCGAAGGUACGAAUUGAAGCCCCAGUAAACGGCGGCCGUAACUAUAACGGUCCUAAGGUAGCGAAAUUCCUUGUCGGGUAAGUUCCGACCCGCACGAAAGGCGCAACGAUCUGGGCACUGUCUCAACGAGAGACUCGGUGAAAUUAUAGUACCUGUGAAGAUGCAGGUUACCCGCGACAGGACGGAAAGACCCCGUGGAGCUUUACUGCAACCUGAUAUGGAAUGUUUGUACCGCUUGUACAGGAUAGGUAGGAGCCGAAGAGACGUGUGCGCUAGCAUACGAGGAGGCAAUGGUGGGAUACUACCCUGGCUGUAUGACCAUUCUAACCCGCCACGCUUAGCGCGUGGGGAGACAGUGUCAGGUGGGCAGUUUGACUGGGGCGGUCGCCUCCUAAAGAGUAACGGAGGCGCCCAAAGGUUCCCUCAGAAUGGAUGGAAAUCAUUCGCAGAGUGUAAAGGCACAAGGGAGCUUGACUGCGAGACUGACAAGUCGAGCAGGGACGAAAGUCGGGCUUAGUGAUCCGGUGGUUCCGCAUGGAAGGGCCAUCGCUCAACGGAUAAAAGCUACCCCGGGGAUAACAGGCUUAUCUCCCCCAAGAGUCCACAUCGACGGGGAGGUUUGGCACCUCGAUGUCGGCUCGUCGCAUCCUGGGGCUGUAGUCGGUCCCAAGGGUUGGGCUGUUCGCCCAUUAAAGCGGCACGCGAGCUGGGUUCAGAACGUCGUGAGACAGUUCGGUCCCUAUCCGUCGCGGGCGCAGGAAAUUUGAGAGGAGCUGUCCUUAGUACGAGAGGACCGGGAUGGACACACCGCUGGUGUACCAGUUGUUCCGCCAGGAGCAUCGCUGGGUAGCUAUGUGUGGCAGGGAUAAACGCUGAAAGCAUCUAAGCGUGAAGCCCCCCUCAAGAUGAGAUUUCCCAUUUCUUCGGAAAGUAAGAUCCCUGAAAGAUGAUCAGGUAGAUAGGUUUGGAGUGGAAGUGUAGCGAUACAUGGAGCGGACAAAUACUAAUCGAUCGAGGACUUAACCAAAA
rnacentral:rRNA from 1 species